UACAGAGGUGGCAAGCGUUGUUCGGAAUUACUGGGCGUAAAGGGCGCGUAGGCGGUUCGAUAAGUCCCGUGUGAAAUCCCUCGGCUCAACUGAGGAUCGUCGAUCGAUACUGCCGUUCUUGAGGAUUGCAGAGGAGACUGGAAUUCCCGGUGUAGCGGUGAAAUGUGUAGAGAUCGGGAGGAACACCGGUGGCGAAGGCGGGUCUCUGGGCAAUUCCUGACGCUGAGGCGCGAAAGCGUGGGGAGCAAACGGG
rnacentral:rRNA from 1 species